CCUUAUCAGAGGAACUCCACUAGAAUCAUUAAUCGUUAAAAUGUUCCGAAUGAGUCACGUUAGACUGUUCAUCUAACUCCGAAAGAAAGACACAGAAUUUCUUCCCUCAUGUGGGCUGGACAGAUGAGGCAAUCGAACUAGAUGGGUUCAGAAUUCAUAAAAUCGAGGGCACGGGAGUUUUUAAAAUCUAAAAUAAUCAUUCAGUUUCUUAAGAAUUAACUCAUUAAUUCGAUGGCGGAUGUUUGCAUACACGGGAGCCCUGGGGAUUAUUUUCUUGAUCAAUAUCCACACUGGUAUAAAUGAACGGUGGAGGUGGGAUAGGCGGCUCGGUGGCGAAGAGUGAAAGUGCUUGCUGAUUCCCAGCAUCCAAAAUCCACAGGCAACGGUCCAGGACAACGGUGGGAGAAAUUCAGACCCAGAGCUGAUCUGCUAAGGAAUGGCUUCUUUUCCAAGAGCUAAAGCAUCAUUUUCCUCUCUUCUCUGCUUUGCAGAGUAGAUACACCAUUUCUACCUCUUCUGCCUUUCACAGGCAUUCAUGCCGGUGCCACAGCGUGCAUGUGGAGAGCACAGGAUAAACUCAGCUAAUGGUCUUUGCCUUCUGCCUUGUUGGAGGGAGAGUCCCUGGCUUGAGUCACAGUUUAGCUGGCCUGUGAGCAUCUACCUGUCUCUGCCUGCCUUCUCACCAUGAGUGCUUUGUUACUAAUGAAGGCAACUACAGUAUCAGGAUUGUACAUGCUUCCAUGGUUCUGAACUCCACUCAAGAUUGCGUGUUCCUAGACCUACAGCACCCGAUGGCUUCCAUGACGCUCCUGCCUUCUUUCACACCAGAGCCCACACACUUGCCAUCCAACCUCUCACUAUAGGUAAAAAACUGGGAACCAAUGUGCUCGAUCCAGUAUUGGCCAUGGACAAAACAUGAGGACUGCAUGCUUUGAGGUGGAAUUCUAUCAAAUUUCUCCCUGUAUAUGGACUUGCCGUGAUUGCUAUUAUGACAUGUGAUGCUGUCGUCCUGGGAUAAUUCUAUGAAAGGAGAAACCCUAAUAGUCAAACCUUUCUCUCCGCUGCUCAGAGCAUAAGAGUUUUCUGCUGCCUCUGGAACUUUUCUACAAAUUCCUCAAAAGGGACAGUGCUCAAGAC
rnacentral:lncRNA from 1 species